GCUGGGUGGAUGAGUGGCGAACGGGUGAGUAACACGUGAGUAACCUGCCCCCUUCUUUGGGAUAACGCCCGGAAACGGGUGCUAAUACUGGAUAUUCACUGAUCUUCGCAUGGGGGUUGGUGGAAAGGUUUUUUCUGGUGGGGGAUGGGCUCGCGGCCUAUCAGCUUGUUGGUGGGGUGAUGGCCUACCAAGGCUUUGACGGGUAGCCGGCCUGAGAGGGUGACCGGUCACAUUGGGACUGAGAUACGGCCCAGACUCCUACGGGAGGCAGCAGUGGGGAAUAUUGCACAAUGGGCGAAAGCCUGAUGCAGCGACGCCGCGUGAGGGAUGGAGGCCUUCGGGUUGUAAACCUCUUUCGCUCAUGGUCAAGCCGCAACACAUGGUUGUGGUGAGGGUAGUGGGUAAAGAAGCGCCGGCUAACUACGUGCCAGCAGCCGCGGUAAUACGUAGGGCGCGAGCGUUGUCCGGAAUUAUUGGGCGUAAAGGGCUUGUAGGCGGUUGGUCGCGUCUGCCGUGAAAUCCUCUGGCUUAACUGGGGGCGUGCGGUGGGUACGGGCUGACUUGAGUGCGGUAGGGGAGACUGGAACUCCUGGUGUAGCG
rnacentral:rRNA from 1 species